rnacentral:rRNA from 1 species
GACGAACGCUGGCGGCGUGCUUAACACAUGCAAGUCGAACGGUAAGGCCCUUCGGGGUACACGAGUGACGAACGGGUGAGUAACACGUGGGUGAUCUGCCCUGCACUUCGGGAUAAGCCUGGGAAACUGGGUCUAAUACCGGAUAGGACCACUGCCUGCAUGGGUGGUGGUGGAAAGCUUUUGCGGUGUGGGAUGGGCCCGCGGCCUAUCAGCUUGUUGGUGGGGUGAUGGCCUACCAAGGCGACGACGGGUAGCCGGCCUGAGAGGGUGACCGGCCACACUGGGACUGAGCUACGGCCCAGACUCCUACGGGAGGCAGCAGUGGGGAAUAUUGCACAAUGGGCGCAAGCCUGAUGCAGCGACGCCGCGUGAGGGAUGACGGCCUUCGGGUUGUAAACCUCUUUCAGCACCGACGAAGCGCAAGUGACGGUAGGUGCAGAAGAAGGACCGGCCAACUACGUGCCAGCCGCCGCAGUAA